rnacentral:lncRNA from 1 species
UGUGGAAUGCCUGCCACACUCCCGUGGGCUUUUGCCAGAGGGCCUCCCGCCAGUAAUCUGCCCUUCAGAAACUGGCCUUGGAUUUCUCAGUCUCCAUUUGUGACCUUGGUGGCGAGAGGUUUGGGAGUCUAAAUGCAAGGAAAUCAAAGAUCAGAGCCGUGAGAGUUACCAGAGUCCAGAGAACAAUCUGGAUGGAAAGACUACUAAUGUCACGGAAGCCUGGGAAGGAGAAGGUUGUUAAAAUCUGGGCCCUGCCCCAAAUCUACUACGUCAGAAUCUCUAGGGUGGAUCCUGGGGAAGACGCAUCUCAACAAGUUCUCCAGGCGCUUGGGAAGAUGUCCUGGACCAAGGCACUCAUGCAGUGAUCAUAGCAACCCUAGUGAGGAAGGCACCGUCAUCAUCCCUGUGCUGCAGACAAGGAAACAGGGGCACCAAGAGGUUAAGGAACUGGUCCCGCCGGGCGCGGUGGCUCACACCUGUAAUCCCAGCACUUUGGGA